rnacentral:tRNA from 1 species
GGCAGUGUAGCAUAGUGGUAAGGAGUAAGACUCAUAACCGAAAGGUUGCUGGUUCGAUUCCCUGCACAGCCA